CUUCAAGACCUCUUCUUCCGGAAGGUAAAUCUUCUCCAACGUCUUGCCGGUCUUCUUUUCCCAGAGGGAGACAAGAUCAUUAAAGGAGCAGAUGUUAGCAGGAGGUUUCACGUACAAAAUCUUGUUCAAAGUCCUCGGGUCAUCUACAGUCUUGAUGGUAUACGUGCCGAUAUCUUCUUCGGCAAGGAAGACAGCUGAACACAAAACCAGAUAGGAUGAAACAUACAUCAAGGAGAAGUGCUUUUAAAAUAUGAGCAUCUAAAUAUAUUCAUUGGUAUCUUCUCAGCUUUCUUUUUCGUUUCCUUUCCCUCUAGAUCUCGGUCUUCUUUGGUAAAAAUCACCGAGACUUUGAACUAGUUGGUAAGAUAACAUGUUAUUAAGCUAUUACAUCCGACGCUAUAUGCGGUGCUUGUUCCCAUAGUGGUGUGUCGAGCAGGAUCGGUCCUGACAUUUUUUAGACCUAGAACUAAAUGAAAAAAUGAGAUCUUCUCUGUUAAAAAUUAAUAUACUUUAAAUAUUAAUUAUCAUUGAAAAAUUAAUCUACGUGCAAUAAUUUUCUAUAGAUAUAUUCGUUAGGCAGUAUAUAAAACCCAUCAUUAACCUAUUUAAUUAUUUUUCUUGUUAUAAUAUUGUAGAAAGCUAUCCUUGCACCCUAUUGGAACAUCAAUACAAGGUCUAGGCCUGGGGCGGUCGCCCAGUUUGACCUGCCCCAGGGCCGGCCCUGGUGUCGAGAUAACCACUUGAUGAAUGAAGCCUAAAUGAACGUCUGUGAUUGGCAACGUACACAGCUAGACAUUGCGCACCAUUUUAGAUAUAAAUUUUGCAUGUUUGUAUUGGUUACAUUCUUGAAAGGACUCAUUUGAUUGACAAAAAUAAGAAGAUAGAAUGCAUCAUUAAUGAAAGAAAUGAAGAACUCUUUCUCUUUGGAUAAAAUUUUCAAAGGUAAAAGAUUAGAAAGUGUUAUUUAUGAGAAUAAACUUUCAAUAUUUAAUGAAAAAAAAUCCAUACGUGAGUUUUUGGCUUUUCUAAAAUUAUAAUCUUUCUUUUUUUUUUCUAAAAGCAUCCUUAAAGUCAAAAUCUUUUUCUUUACAAAAGAUAUAAUAGAUAUUUUAUAUAAUUUUUUUAAAAAUAAAUAUUCAAUCAAAUAUAACAUAUUUUAAUAUAUGUUACUUUCCAUAAUCAAUCAAAAAUAUCAUAAUCACUUUUUCAGACACCGUAUUUUCAGAAAUCAACUUUUCAAUAAAUAUUUUAAUAUAUAUAUAUAUAUAUUUUUUUUUUUUUGCUGCGAAUCAAACGAGUCCAAAAAUCACUUAUAAUCCAAGGCCGCAAGCUGGGCAACACCAGGUCAAAUUGGCCCUAAGUCCAAUAUUUAGACUAGGAACCAACCAUAUUAGGAGAUAAGGUUAAGCUAAGAUUGGUGUAUUCUCCAAGGAGGGCUCCUAAAUUGGGUCCGGUUUAAGGGAAUAUAUCUCGAUUUUUAGGGUAAUUUUUCGUGGCAGAAUUAGAAUCCGCCCUUAUAUGCCAGAUUGCCUGCUGAUUUUGUCGGAGUUCGGGUCUUAGAUCAACAUCCAUAACGGACGUGAACUGAGUCUAAAACCACUUGGUUAUGGACCUAUCAUUGGUUUCGUGCAGAAUUCCAUAUUUAUGCAGGCACACAACUCAUGCCAAGAGGUUCAAGUAGCAGAUCCAAUGGUCCUAGUAAGCCGAACCUCACGAGGUUUCACAAAUCAUAGGGCAAUUGGAUCUUGUUCCACGGUUCAGAUGGAUCCAAUGAUCAUCGUAAACCCCACAAUGCAUGCUAGAUUAGACAUGAUUCAGAUGGAAUAACGGAUCGAUCUAUACAUGUAUCUCGAUCGUGACAUGCAUCAUUUGCCAUCUGCUCUACUUGGUAAAUAAAUUGUGUCCAUGUAUUCUAACAAGCUAGGAAGAGAGAGAGAGAGAGAGUACCCUUCGGAUUUCCAUCGCCUAAUACUGUAACUUUGUCUUUUGGAGGUUCUGGCUGUGCUAGCGUUGGAAGAAAAUAUCCGGCGAAGCAGUUGCAGCACACAAUGGUGCAAGGGAUCCCUUCUGCCUCAAUGGCCCGACGAAUUUGAGCCUUGAGAGCGAACACCGACGAUGCAGGCUCCGCUGUGUGGAUGCGAUCAACAUCUAAACCAAACUCCGAGGGCAAAAACCUCUACAAACACCAUAUAUUAUUUCAUGGUUGAUGAAAUAGCUAGCCAAGUAAUCUCAUUUAACAAAGACCGUUUAUAUACUAAAUGUCAUACUACUAGCAAAAUAUGGUGAUGACUUUGUUCCAUUGGCCGUAAAACUUUAAAAAAAUCGUAAUAAUAUCAGUAAUGACUGACAGGGGCGGCUCAACAUCUUUGGAAGCCUAAAGCUAAAAACGAAGGCGAGAUCAGGGAGGGGCCUUCUUCCGGGCUCCGGCUUUCGAGAAACGAAGGCGGACCGGCGGACCGUCGGCCCGGCGCACAACCGGGGCGGAGGGGGAGUGUCGAAAAACAAAAAAAAAUGAAGAAACUUACCGGUGGAGGCCGGGGGUGGAUCGGGACGCCGGAGGCGGAGGUUGGACGCUUGGACCGGGACGCCAGAGGCGGGAGGCGGAGGCUGGACCGCGAUGCCGGAUGCGCACGAGCGGGGGGCCUCUUGGGGGUGGGGGCCUAAGGCAAGGACUUCGGUGGUCUUGCCCUUCAGCCGCCCCUGAUGACUGAUAUUAUUAUUUUGUACAAUUCUACCUUUAGGCAUUUAUAUCAUUUUAUUAUUGUAUCAGCAAGUGAAGUUUUAGCUAGUUAACGUGAAGUCUCUACUUCAUAAUUACACGUGGUCACUGAGGUAUUAAAGAUCACACUACUCAGAUUCUUUCCUUUUUUUGAUUUUUAAUCUUCUGACUUCAAUAAUAUAAUUAGCAAAAUCUCCUUUUAAAUUUUUUUUAUGAUAAAAUUUGUUAAUGUCAUCUUUUGUCUGAGCAGAAAAUUUUAAAAUUAUAAUAUCUAUUUAUAAAUUUUUUAAUUCUCUAUAAAUAAAAUUGGUUAGUGGUAGUGGGUUCUUUCCACUACUCUCUACACUUUCUCAAAAAGAAAAAAUUCGCUGGAUAAGUGGAAAGAUAUGACCCCUGAGAUAACACUUGGAUCAUAUCGUAAUCAUCACGCCGUAUUGGUCAAUCAGCCACAACUACUUGUAAUGGCCAUUACGCAUAUAUUAUAAAGAGCAAAAAGAAGCUAGCAUUCUUUGAGGGGGACAUAAACAAAAGUUGAUGUUUAGAAUCGUAUCCUAUAGAGAAAAAUUCAAAUGUACUGAGUGAAUCAUAAUUUAUCAUUUGCUAUUGAUUGAUCGAUAUAGGUUUAGGGAUGUAAAUUAUAAAGACUUUAGGUCAACCCCAACAACCAUUGUCCAAAGUUUUUGAUAAAUAUCAAUUUCUAAAGUUUAAAAAGGUAAAGAAUGGUCCCACACAUAUUAGGCAAUUUGAAGGGGAAUUCAUAAAUCUAAGAUAUAUAUAUAUAGAUUAAAAUAGAGACUUCUCAAUAGAGAAGUCUCCGUUUGACAUAUGAUUUGUUAGGAAGAGGGAAGGAAACCACGUAGUCUAUUCGGUCGCUCCAAGCCUCCCACCCGAUUGAGACUCCCAAUGAUGGAAAAACAGUAGAAAAACUCAAAAAAAUGUAGAAAAAAUCAGGAAAAAAAAGGAAGGAUCCAUGGUCCAUCAGAACCUCCGUGCUUUUAUCGUCACGCUCUCGCUCUCAGCCACGUCACAACGCUCUCGCUCCUGAAAAAAUCGAUCGUGAUUGGUGCAAUCAUUCCGAAGCUCCCCUUUUUCAGCUCCACCGUGGUGGCAUACACGGUAUACACACCAUGUGCCGAAGGUUAUCUGAGUGGUGCCAGCGCUGGCUUCUGUUCGGCCGCUUCAAGCCUCCUACGCAAUUGAGACUCCGAGAGUCCUGUUCGGCCGCUCCAAGCCCCCUACAUGAUUGAGACUCCGAGAAUGAAAAAAACAAAGGAAAUACCCAACACAAAAGCCCAACUAUCAUUUAAGCUUCCCCGUUUGGCCUGUCCAAGCCUCCCAUCUGAUUGACUCCUGAGAAUGAAAAAAAAAAGAAAUACCCAGCCCAGCCAUCAUCUAAGAUUCCCUUUCGGCUGCUCCAAGCCUCCCACUCAGAGAUUCUUACAUUGCUUUCCAAGCCUCCCAUCCUGUGCAUCGUGUUGUAGUCCAAAGCGCCAAACUUGGAGAAGACGGUCAUGACAUCAUUAUCGAUGGUGUCCGCAGGGAUGUUCCUAACCCAGAGAAUGCUUGACGGUGAUGCAUAGUUGCCCCCUUCCUUGGACAGUGGCCGUCGAUGGUGGUUUGAUGACUCGACCACCGAUUUGUUGGACGGCAUCGAUGGCCCCGAAACCCAGAGACCAAGAAAUCCGACGUUGGAGGAUGAAAUCGGGAUCGAAGAGCAGUGAAAAUGACAGGAUUUUUUGAUGAUUUCAAAAAGAAAACAUGAAUUCGAGGAUCGAAGGGGAAGGAGGAGUAGGGAAGAAACUCUAGAGCAGCGAGGAGAAGAAUAAAAGGAGAGGUGACAAAAGAAUAGCAGAGAAGGAUAGAAGGCAGGGUCCAUGAACAAAGCAGGGAGAUGCCCGUAUAUUAUAUUUCUUCUCGGAGCUGAAAUCAAGAGGAGCAGGGCAAGAUGGAAAGAGAAGGGGCAUGCGCGGCCAAUGGCAAUGGCGGCAAUGCUCGAGCGAGCAUUGGGAAAAAAAGAGAAGAAGAGAGGAUGAAGAAGGAAGAAAUAAAAAGAAAAAAAAGAAAAAGAAGAAAAAAAAAAAUAAAAAGUUAAAGUAAUUUAAUUAAUUAUAUAUAUAUAUAANNNNNNNNNNNNNNNNNNNNAGUAUCUUAUAUUAACAUAAUAUAUUAUAUAAUAUUAUAUUAUAUAUAAUGAUAUAAUAUAUUAUAUUAUAAUAAUUAACUAUUAUAUUAUCAUAUAAUAUUAUAUAUUAUAUUAAUAUAUUGUAACAUAUAUUAUAUAAAAAUUAUUCUAUAUAAUAAUAUAUAAUUAUAUUGUUAUAUUAUUAUAUUAUAAUAUAUUAUCAUACAUUAAUAUAUAAAUAUUAUAAUAUAUUAUAAUAAUAUCUUUUAUUAAUAUAACAUAAUAUAUAAUAUAAUAUUAUUAUAUAUAAUAAUAUAAUAUAUAAUAUUAGUAUAUUAUAUUAAAAUGAUACAAUAUAUUAUAUUAUAAUAUAAUAUUAUAAUAUAGUAUAUUAAAAUGUAUUAUAUUAUAUUACAUUAAUUAUAAAGGGAGAAAUGACAAAAGGAUAGCAGAGGAGGACAUAGGGUGGGGUCUGUGAAUAGGGCAGAGAGAUGUCCGUAUGUUAUAUCUUUUCUUAGAGCUGAGAUCAAGAGGAGCAGGAUGAGAUGGAAAGAGAAGGGCGGGCAUNNNNNNNNNNNNNNNNNNNNAAUGAUUAAUUAUUAUAUUAUCAUAUAAUAUUAUAUAUUAUAUUAAUAUAUUGUAACAUAUAUUAUAUAAAUAUUAUUCUAUAUGAUAAUAUAUUAAUUAUAUUGUUAUAUUAUUAUAUUAUAAUAAUAUUUUUAUUAAUAUAACAUAAUAUAUAAUAUAAUAUUAUUAUAUAUAAUAAUAUAAUAUAUUAUAUUAGUAUAUUAUAUUAAAAUAAUAUAUUAUAUUAUAUUAUAUUAUAUUAUAUUAUUAUAAUAUACUAUAUUAAAAUAUAUUAUAUUAUAUUAUAUUAAUUAUAUAAAAUCUACGUACGAUCGGCUAGCUGGCACAAGGUUCGUUGAACCUACGAGCUACAAGUCCAUUACCAGGUUGUUUGAACCAUCCAGUCCAAUUUACGUAGAGAUAUCUUGGCAUGAAUUAAUCCAAAAACAUAAGUAUGUGCAUAUGGUUAUAUUUUUCAAAUUAAAGUUGAUAAAUACAAUUUCAAAUAAGGAGGACUAAGCUACACUGCUCUUAAAAUAGUUUCAAAUGAGGCUUGCAACGAAUCAAAAGGUAAGAGAAAUCAAAAAAAAAUUAUUGUGAGUGAUGCAUUUUUAUUCUUUCACAUAUGAAUGAUUAUAUUUAUAUAUUUUAUUCUAAUAAUUGAUAACUAAUUUUUUUUUUACAGAUUGAAGUAGAUGAAGAUGAAAUUUUUAUUAUUGAUAUGAUUAUAAAGAAAAGAGAUAUACAUAGGAUGCAAAUAAGUGGUCGUACUUUGCUUAAUGAUGAGAAUUUCGAAACAACUAAUGCUGAAAAUAUUGAUUCAAGGAAUGAUUUCUCUAUCAGCAAAAGACAGAAAUAAUUAUGUUACUUCUUAUUAUCACGUUAUUUAAACAAUCUGACUUUAUAUUUUUAUUUAAAAUAUUUGAUAUCAUUUAUGAUAUCUUUUAUAUUAUAUUAGAUUUUUAAUUUAUAAAAAUAUUAUUUUAAAAAAAAUUCAAAAUAUCAUCACAGAAUGUCAUAAUUUUUUCUAAAUAUGAGGGAUAUUUUUAUCAUUCAAAAUUUUAAACGAAAAGGUAGGACAGUAAGCAUUAAAUACGCUAUUAAAUGUGCGUUCGAAGGCAGUGGCUAUAUACUCUAAAAUGAUUGGAUGGUGUGCUCCAUAUUAUUUUUAUUGCACCGCAUGGUGCAUAAAGACUUUCUCUAUGGAUAUUUGGAAGUGCAUAUAAACACAUAUCCUUUCUUGAUUUUGAUUCUUUUGUUAUGAAAUAUGUUUAAAUGUUUCACCCUUCUUUUUUAUCAUAGACUGCGAAAAGCGACCCCUUGACAUAUCCUAUCCAAAAGGAAAAAGCAUCCAGAAAAUUUUUGCAGUAUGGUCUUACUAUUGCUACCUUGUUUGUUAUUUUUUUUUAAUAUUUUUGUUUAGGUUUAUUUCACAUAUAUUUUCAAAAAGAUGUAUUUGAAAUUUGAAUGACAUCAUAAUCGAGGAACAUUCUUCUUUUAAUAUAUAAUAGUGUAGCACACAAAACUUUAUAUAUCUCUGAAGAACUAUAAUAAUUAUAUAUGCACAUGCUCACAUUUUAUAUUAUCAAUGAAAUUACGCUAUAUUGGCCAAUAUUCAGUGCAUUAGGCACCCUAUGUAGUCAUUUGAGGUGUUACAAUAUGCAGCGAGUAGAAACUUCUUCAAUUUUUUAUCUAAAUUUUUUUGUUAUUCAUAAUGUGAAAAAAUAAGUUUUAAACUUUCAAUUCAUGUAUCUAACUUUAAUAAUACGUCAUAUACCUUUUCUCUCUCUUCACAUUAUUUUCUCUUUUUAUUUUCUCUCUCUACAGGGAGAAGAUUUUUUUCUCUUCUAUUAUUAUGUUGGAUUUUUAAUUUAUAAAAAUAUUAUUUAAAAAAAAUAAUUAUAUAUCGUGCAUCGCACGAGGUUCUAAAUUAGUAAUAUUUUUGUAUUGGAUCCUACCUUCUACAAAGAAAAAGAGGGGAGGGAGGGAAAGACCUUAAUCAUUCCGAUUUCUUUAAUAGCAGCAAUGAUCUUAAACUGGUCCAACACCUGUCGUGGCCCGACUGUAAAACUUUAUAUAUCUCUAAAGAACUACAAUAAUUAUGUAUGCACAUGCUAAUAUUUUAUAUUAUCAAUAAAAUUAUGCCAUAUUGGCCAAUAUUCAGUGCAUUAGGUACCCUAUGCAGUUAUUUGAGGUAUUACAAUAUGCAACGAGCAGAAACUUCUUUGAUUUUUUAUCUAAAUUUUUUUAUUAUUCAUAAUAUGAAAAAAUAGGAUUUAAACUUUCAAUUCAUAUAUCUAACUUUAAUAACACGUCAUAUAUUUUUUCUCUCUCUUCUCACUACUUUCUCUCUUCAUUUUCUCUUUCUAUAGAGAGAUAAUUUUUUCUCUCUCCUAUAUCAUCCGUGAUAUCUUUUAUANNNNNNNNNNNNNNNNNNNNUGUAUGGAAUUCUAAACUAGUAAUAAUUUUUUAUACCGUAUCCUACUUUCUACAACAAAAAAAAAGAGGGGAGGGAGAGAGACCUUAAUCGUUCCGACUUCUUUAAUAGCAGCGAUGAUCUUAAACUGGUCCAACACCUGCCGUGGCCCGAUCGUUGAGAUUACCACGUCCACUUGUUUCAUGGCCUCCACCAAGCUCCCGUGGUCAUUUAAAUCCCCCUAAAACAUUGAUACCAUCAAUAUAAUAGCGAAAAGCUAGCAAAAUCUUAACAAAAUUUUUGUUAAAAUUAAUUUAUCAGUGGUUAACGUCAGAUUCCAAUCUUACGGAAUUAUAGAUGUCCGAGAUACAGAAGGAAGAAAGUAUUUAUUUACUUUGAGGAGGGUGACGCUGGAGUUCUUGAAUGCCCUCAAGAGCUGGGCCUUGGCUUGGUCGGAGGGGGCGGUAUCUCUCACCAGGACGAAGGUGGGAUGACCAGACCGCGCGCUAGCUCCCACAAUAAACUUACCGAGGUACCCCGUCCCGCCGAUGAUCAGGAUCUUGCUCAUCUUUCCCGCCAUCUGGACCGUCGGAUGAUCGAGGGCAAAAGAGAUUACGUUGCUCCGCCGGUACAAGCGGGAUGAGGGGAAGGCUUCGAGACGGGCGCGAUCGACGGUGAUGGAACCGCUCCAGUCUUAUAGGAGCGGAGUCGGUGUACGGUCACCGUUGAGUAAACAGGGCGAUAUGGUGCUCCACUUGCUUUUACAGUUUUUUCUCGUUGAAGGGUGCUGGAUUUCCGGCAGUUGGUCAGCUUGGAGACUAGAUGGCUUACCAACUACAAAGUGGGUGGGCAGGCUUCUUAAGGGUAUUCAGCGUAUCAAGUUGAAGAUGGAACGCCAUAGUUGGCGGAUCAUUUUUUGACAUGUAGCCGCUUCAGCUGUAUCUUUCUCUACGAUAAUAAAUUAGGGUACGUGAUGACCAAAAAAACAAAUUAGGGUACGUGUCGGCUUCUGUUUUGUGGCAGUAAUCUGUUCGGUGUCAUGACAGCUCAGGUAUUUUAUACAUAGAAAAUAUAAAAGGACGACUACUAGCGCACCUGCUGGCCUCCGUACUCAAUGCACCAGGUGCAAUGGGACCUCCCACCUGCUGCAAGCUUAAACUUGACGCAUCCAAGCGCAGGUAGGUGUGCGUCAUCGAAAAAAAGGCCAAAAGGACGGGUACGGUUAAAGGUCGAGGGUUAAUAUAUAGCCUCAGGUGGACCAUGAUAACGUCUUGCUUUUCCGCAUGCUCAUGAUUAAGAUUUUUUUUAAAAAUUCAUGGUGAUAUAGUAUGAUGAUUUCUCAUCUUUCUCUGGCGCCUGCAAACUCAAAUCCUCCUCUAAAUACCUAGUAAUUCCCUCUCGCGCUUGCAUCCACGCCCUUACCCACGUCCUUCCCAUUCUUGAACGUUCAAAUCUAUUGUACUUAAAAAACAACAUGCAUAAAAAAAAAAUCAUAAAAAAGAAGAGGCGAAGAGAUGAAAAGAGAUUGAAAGAUUGGUGUGGCACUGUGCUUCUUGAAGGGUAGUAAAAAAAUGUUAGAAUGGACGAUCGACAACCUUUUAAACAUUGGCAAUGGCUUUAUCAUCCUCCACAUCAUUCAACCCAAGGGCGACGAAGUCAAGUACUCUCUUUGGUCUCAAUCCGAUUCCCUUUUGAUUUCUCUGAUGAAAUUAAAAAAACUAGAGAUGAUAAAGAACUAUAACCUGAAAGUCGACAUCGAGAUCCUCAACUUUAAUUUCAUUGACAUUCAUGCUACCAUCGCCAUCCAUGAUCGUGCCGAACCUCAUCACCCUCAACGUCACCAUCCUCGACGUCAUCAUUCUUGACAUUACUCUUUGCCUUGGUUGUUUCAUCGCUGCCGACACCAGCAUCAACUACAUCGACUUUGUCACUAGUAUCUGCCACGGCAUUACCAUCAUCAGGUUGACUAUCUCCAAAUUAGUCAAAUAUCAAAUAGAUCAGAAUCCAAAAUCUGACCAACAUCAGAUCGAUCAGACGUCGAUUAGAUUUAAUCAUCUCCACAUCGUUCAGAUAUCGAUUAGAUUUGAUCAUCUUCAACUUAGCUGAAUAUCAAUCAAAUCCGAUCCAAGCAGACAUCUCUAGAUCAGUUAGAUACCGAUUAGAUCUGAUCUAAUUGACUAUCUAUAGGUCAAACACAGACUAGAAUUGGAUAGUAUUAUUGAGAUCAUCUAUUAUUUUCUUUACUAUUAUUUCAAAAUCCGGUCCGAUGUAGGUAUUGGACGAUCUAAUUAAAGCUAAUCUAUUAAGUUUUUCAGUUCUUUUUGUAUGUAGGUUGAUGACUCCAAAGCAAAUUCUAUUCCACCAUCGUAGAUCGAACAACGCCCUCUAGAUGAUCCUAAUUGGAUUAGACUUUAGCAACAAUACAUGGUAUCAAAUAAUAUAAGAUUUUCUGAUGGGAGGUGAUUACAAUGGUUCUAAAUUUAUAAUUAAAAACCUAGUGGGUUACUUUCGAAUAGAAUUUUUGAUAUUAUAGGAUUAAAAUAUGCUAUUCAAAAUUUAGAUGAUUCGUAUGUCAUAUUGGAGGCUUAUUUGGCUCCAUCAUGUAAUGUGGAUUCUCAUAUUUUGCUAAAAGAUUAAGGUCAUUUGAUUGCUAUCUUCUAUCAUUCGAAGCAAUAUAUGUUUUGGACUUCAUCAUCCAAUGCUGAUUCUCACAUUUUGCUAUAAGAUUAUGGUCACUAACUAAUAAUCAAUAUUUUAAUUUAAGAGUUUUUAAAAAAUAAAUAAUUUUAUAAAUCUUUUUAAAUCAUUUUUUUUCGGGCAGAUAGUGAGUGCACAAAUUACAAAAAAAGUAUAUAAAACAACCUACAAUUCCUAGUUUCCUGAUAAAGCAUCCACAAAACAAAGCAUAAGCACCUCUAGUUCAAAACUUAUAUCUAUGGUUCUAAGCAGAACUUUCUUCCAAUCCCAUAAAUGAACACACUCUGUUAUUAGGCUCCUACGAUUUCAGAUACGACUCAAGCUAUUUACAUUAAGAUAGACUCCUGGCACAACAUAACUAAUUAGUGCCAACCAACAAGACGAGAGAAAAUUACAUGCUAUUCCCAUAUCGCACCUAUAUGAGGCCCCAAAUUAAUACAUUCAUGUAGUCAUAUACCUAUUACAUGAAUGAAAGACCAUGACAAGAGAGAACAAGAAUAGCACUAGUUUUUAACAUGCAUCCAUGUAGGUAACUUGGGCAAAUGGAUCGAAUGGUCAGCUUGAAUAUUUGCAACUUUGAGGUCAAAGUGUUUAAGCACAACAAACAUUUUAUUGAAUUUAUACACACACAAAUGUCACUUAUAUAUAUAUUAAAGAUAUUACAUUAUUUAAGCCGAAAGAUGAAAGCAUGCCAAUUCCUCAACUCAGACAACUUGCAUGUUUUGUGGGUUCAUUGGAUAACACGGUUGAGAUACUCUUGAACACUAGUAUAUUUGACAUCAGGAUAGAGCUCAGAAGCCUCCACACCAAAUGAUGGUUCGAUUUGGAUGUUAGCAGUGUCUCCCUUCACAAACACCAAGUAGUUGACUGCCAUCAGCAUAUUGAACNNNNNNNNNNNNNNNNNNNNNNNNNNNNNNNNNNNNNNNNNNNNNNNNNNNNNNNNNNNNNNNNNNNNNNNNNNNNNNNNNNNNNNNNNNNNNNNNNNNNNNNNNNNNNNNNNNNNNNNNNNNNNNNNNNNNNNNNNNNNNNNNNNNNNNNNNNNNNNNNNNNNNNNNNNNNNNNNNNNNNNNNNNNNNNNNNNNNNNNNNNNNNNNNNNNNNNNNNNNNNNNNNNNNNNNNNNNNNNNNNNNNNNNNNNNNNNNNNNNNNNNNNNNNNNNNNNNNNNNNNNNNNNNNNNNNNNNNNNNNNNNNNNNNNNNNNNNNNNNNNNNNNNNNNNNNNNNNNNNNNNNNNNNNNNNNNNNNNNNNNNNNNNNNNNNNNNNNNNNNNNNNNNNNNNNNNNNNNNNNNNNNNNNNNNNNNNNNNNNNNNNNNNNNNNNNNNNNNNNNNNNNNNNNNNNNNNNNNNNNNNNNNNNNNNNNNNNNNNNNNNNNNNNNNNNNNNNNNNNNNNNNNNNNNNNNNNNNNNNNNNNNNNNNNNNNNNNNNNNNNNNNNNNNNNNNNNNNNNNNNNNNNNNNNNNNNNNNUAUAUAUAUAUAUAUAUGACUUUUUAGAAUUUUAUUUAAAAGAUCAUAGUUGCAAGAACAUAUACGUAAAAAUCAGUUUUUGACUAUUAUUUUCUUAGUGGCGUUCCCUUGACUCUUGUUCAGCAAUAUUGAUAAUGAAAAGGGCAGCCUUCCAUCACUUAUUGCGUUUUCUGGUUACAUUAACUAGUUUUGCUACUGAGCAUUAAAUCUCAAAAGCAUAAGCACUUAAAGAACGAGUUAACAAAAUAUAUGGGUCUUAAACAUCCAUCAAGGAAAAGAACACUGUGAAUUAUUUGAACACGCAUUUCUUUUGUGGGAUGCAGCCUAUUAAGUAAUAUCUAGCACCCUAUACUAUAACAUUGGGCAAACCUAGCAACGUCAAAUCCUAAAUUGUUUGUGUCCAUGUGUGUCCAUUCCUUUUGCACAUUAUUUUCUGGCUAAUUUUCCAUAUAUACGGGCACACUGAUAUUUUUUAUAUUUGCUCAUAGAAUCUUCUUGCCUGUGCUACAUUUGCCAUUCAGUUUUUUAUAACAAACACAUCUAAAAGCUUUUCUCUCAGAUGGAAGGUGCUAUUUACAUGAUAGAAAAGUGAAUUUGUGCUCAAUGUGGCUAUCGAUGCUAAGUUAAAUGGUAUAUCCUUUUUAUUUUAAAAAAUUCAAAAUAUCUAAUUAGAAGAUAAUCAUGUAACUGUGAUGAUCACUGAUGGUGGAUAACAUGUAAAUCAAAAACAGAGGAAUAUAAGCCGACUUAUCGAGCACAUGAUUUAUAAUGGUAUUAUAUAUAUGUAAAUUAUUGGUUCAAAUAACGAUGCUUUAUACAUCCAAAAUUCUAAAGGAAGUUGGCAUUUGAAACUAGCGAAAGUUUCUACUUACCCUCGAUCUUCUUCAAGGCCUCUUCUUCCGGAAGGUAGAUCUUCUCCAAUGUCUUGCCGGUCUUCUUCUCCCAGAGGGAGACAAGGUCGUUAAAGGAGUAGAUGUUGGCAGGAGGUUUCAUGUACAAAGUCUUGUUCAAAGUCCUUGGAUCAUCCACCGUUUUGAUGGUAUACGUGCCGACAUCUUCUUCAGCAAGGAAGACAACUGAACACAAAGCCAGAUAUGACGACAAGAGCGUCAGAAGAGUAUUGCCUUUAAAAUACGAGCAUCUGGAUAUAUUCAUUGGUAUAUAUCUUCCCUGUUUCUAUUUCCCCCCCUCCAGAUCUCGAUCUUCUUUGGUAAAUUGCCAAGAUUUCGUAUAAGCUGGCAUGUUCUAGACAUAUUACAUCCUACACGGCAUGCAGCACUUCUAUUUCUAUGAUGGUGCACCAAGAUAAGUAUUUGAUGAAUGAAGUCUAUAAAAACAAAUAGUUAUAACUGGCAGCAUGCAUAGCCACAUGGUGUACAUCAUGCAGAAAUAUAAUUUCCAUGCAUUUGUAUUAUUUACACUCCUCAAAAGUACUAACACACCAAGGCUGCAAGUUGGUGAGCCCAGGCCAAAUUAGCCGAUCGAGUUCGAUGCAUGCCAAGUGGUUCAGGAAGCAGAUACAAUAAUGGUCCUAUUAAGCUGAACCUCAUGAAGUUAAUUUCACAAAUCAUAGGGCAACUACAGCUGUUCCGUGGUUCUGAUGGAUCCAAUGAUCAUUGUAUAUAUAUCCCAUACUGCAUGCUAGAUUAGACAAGAUUCAAAUGGAAUACUAGCUCCAUCUACGUACCUUUUCACAUGCAUUGUCUGGCACGUGCACUUCUGAGUAAAUAAAUCAUGUCCAUUCUAACAUAGUAAGAAGUGAGAGAGAAUACCUUUCUGAUUUCCGUCGCCUAAUAUUGUAACUUUGUCUUUUGGAGGUUCUGGCUGUGCUAGUGUUGGAAGAAAGUAUCCAGCGAAGCAGUUGCAGCACACAAUGGUGUGAGGGAUCCCUUCUGCCUCAAUGGCACGCCGAAUCUGAGCCUUGAGUGCGAACACCGACGAUGCAGGCUCUGCUUUGUGUAUGCGGUCAACAUCUAAACCAAACUCGGAGGGCAAGAACCUCUACAAACACCAUUAUUUCAUGAUUGAUGAACAUAAAUUAGCCAAGUAAUCUCAUUUAACAAAGACCGCUUAUGCACUAAAUGCCAUGCUACUAGCAAAAUAUGGUGAUGACUUUGUUCCACUGAUCGAAUAAUUUUAAAAAAAUAGCAAUAUGAUGGUGACCAUCAUUGCUUGUUUGUAAAAGUAUACCUUUAUUAUUAUUAUUACAUCAGUAAUGGUGAGAUAUUAAAGGUACGAUACUCAGGAUUCAAAUUUCCCUGCACAAGUGGAAAAAUAAGACCACUGAGCUGACACUUGGAUCGUACUGCAAGUAAUCAUCACGGGAUGCUAGAGUAAGGGUCAAUCACCCACAACCACUUAUAAUGUCCAUUAUAUAUCAGCGAUAUGUUACGAAUAUAUUGUGAAGGUAAAAAAGAGGUUAGUAUUCUUUGAGGGGGAAGAAACAAAAAUUAUCAGUUUAGAAUCGUAUCCUUUUAUAAUAAUAGAUUAAAAUUCUAAUGUAAAGAGUGAAUCAUAAAUUAUCAUUUGCUAUUGAUCGAUAUAGUUCUAAGGACUUUAGGUCAACUCCAACAACCGUUUUCGAAAGUUUAAAAAGUAAAAGAAUGUGGCAUCAAAAAAAAAAAUGUAAAAGAAUGGCCCCACAUACGUCAGAUAAUGCUGGAUAGGACCAUGGCUAUUGGAAGGGGAAGUAUAAUAAAUAAUAAUUUUACACCAGAUCCUACCUUCUAGAAAGAAAAGGAGGGAGGAGAGAGAGACCUUAAUCGUUCCGACUUCUUUAAUAGCAGCUAUGAUCUUAAGCUGGUCCAUCACCUGCUGUAGGCCGACCGUUGAGAUUACCACGUCCACUUGUUUAAUGGCCUCCACCAAGCUCCCGUGGUCAUUUAAAUCCCCCUAAAGCAUUGGUACGGCGUCAAUAUAAUAGCGAAAAGCUAGCAAAAUCUUAACAAAAGUUUUGUUAACAUUAAUUUAUCAGUGCUUAACGUCAGAGUCCAAUCUUACGGAAUUAUUGAUGUUCAAGAUAUAGAAGAAAGAAACUAUUUAUUUACUUUGAAAAGGGUAACGCCGGAGUUCUUGAAAGCCUCCAAGAGCUGGGCCUUCGCUGGGUCGGAGGGGGCGGUAUCUCUCACCAUGGCGAAGGUGGGAUGACCGGACCGCGCGCUAGCUCCCACAAUAAACUUACCGAGGUACCCCGUCCCACCGAUGAUCAGGAUUUUGCUCAUCUCCCGCGCCAUCUGGACCGUCGGAUGAUCGAGGGCGAAAGGGAUUACGUUGCGCCUCCGGUACAAGCGGGAUAAGGGAAAGGCUUUGAGGCGGGCGCGACCGGUGGUGCUGGAAUCGCUCCGGUAUUAUAGGAGCGGAGUCGGUGUGCGGUCACCCUAAAGUAAACAUAACCUUAAGCUGCUCCGCUUGCUUUUUCAGUUUUUCGUCGUUGGAGGGUGCUAGAUUUCCGACAGUGGGUCAGCUUGGAGACGUGAUCGAGCACCUAGAAAAAGUGGUGGGGAUGCUUCCUAAGGGGAUUCAGUGUAUGAAGUCGAAGAUGGAAUGGCACAGCUAGCGGAUCAUAUUUUGACAUGUAGCUGGUUCUGCUGCAUCUUGUUCUAUGUUAGCAAGUUAGGGUACGUGUCGGUUUCUGCUUUGCGAUAGUAAUCUGUUCGGUGUCAUGGCAGCUCAGGUAUUUUGUAUAUAUAAAAUAUAAAAGGACGACUACUAGCGCACCUGCUGCAAUCUUAAACUUGACGCAUCGAAGCACGGGUAGGUGUGUGUUAUCGAAAAAAAAGGCAAAAAGAAAAGGUACGGUUAAGGGUCAAGAGUUAAAAUAUAGUCUUAGCUGGACCACAAUCAGAUCUUGCUUUUUUUUUUACGGUGAUAGUUAAGAUUUUCUCUUUUUAAAUUUAUGGUGAUAUGGUAUGAUGAUCUUUUGUCUAUCUCCAAUACCCAUAAAUUUAUUUUUUUUUUAAAAUAUUUGAGUGAAAUCAGUAAAAUUUAGGAUCAGAAUCAAAAUGGAUGACUCUUAUUUUAACCAUUUGAUUGGAAGAAAUUUCAUUUCAAUUUUGAUUCCGGGAUAGAAUGGGAAUGCCUCAAUCUAUAUAGAACUCAAUCCUUAUUUUUCUCUAUGGAUUCAAAUUUUCAUUCCAAUUCCGAUUUUGAUUCUGAUCACAAACCAAACGCUUUGAGAGAUUUGACUAUUCCAAUUUCGAUUCCAAGUCAUUUCGAUUUUCAUUCUUAUUCUGAUUUCGUUUACGAAUCAAACACUCCCUAAAUACCUACUGAUUCCCUCUCCAAUGCUCGUAUCCACGCCCUUACUCACAUCCCACUCUUUAAUGCUCAAAUUUAUUCUAUUUAAAGGAUAACAUGCAUGGGCAAAUGGGCCAUCAAAAAAAAUGAGGCCAUAAGAAGAAGAGAUGAAAGAAGAUUAGAAGAUCAGUGUGGCACUGGACUUCUUGAAAAGUAAUAAAAGAGUGCUAGGGUGGACGAUCAAUAACCUUGUGGACCAUGGCGAUGCCCCUAUCAUCCUCCAUAUCAUGCAUCCCAAGGGUGACAAGGCCAAGUACUCUCUUUAGAUCCAAUCUAAUUCCCCCUCUAACUCCUUUGGCGAGGUUGAAGAAACCAGAGAUAAUGAAGAACUAUGAUUUGGAAGUUGACAUCGAGACCCUCAACUUCAAUUCCACUGACAUUCGGGCUGCCAUCGUCACCCAUGAUCGUGCGCCCAACCUCGUCACCCUCAACAUCACCAUUCUUAAUGUCAUCAUCCUUAACAUCAAUUUUUGCCUUGAUUGCUUCAUCACUAUCAACAUCAACAUUAACUAUAUCGGCUUUACUACUAGCAUCUACUGCAGCAUCACCAUCAUCAGGCUUACUAUCUCUAGAUCAGCCAGAUAUCGAUUAGAUCAGAAUUCAAGAUCCGACCAACACCAAAUCGGCUAGAUACUAAUCAGAUUUGAUCCUCUCUGGAUCAGUCAGAUGCCUACCAGACCCGACCAUCUCUAACUUGGCUGCACGUCGACCAAAUCUGAUCCAAGCGGACUAUCUCCAGAUCAAUCAGAUACUAAUAAAAUCCGAUCUAGCUGACCAUCUUUAGAUCAGUCAAACAUUGACUAGACCUAGAUAAUAUUAUUUUGAUCAUCUAUUAUUUUUUUUAAUAUUAUUCCAAAGUCCAACCUAACUUAGACAUUGGAAGGUCUGGUCGGAGCUAAUCCGAUGAGUUUUUCGAUUUUUUUUGUAUGUAGGUGCACGACUCCAAAGCAAAUCUUAUUUUACAACCGUGGAUCGAACAAUGCCCUCUAAAUGAUCCUAACUGGGCUGGAUUUUGGCAGCAACAUAUGGUAUCAAAUGAUAUAAGAUUUUUCUAAUGGCAUUGUUAAUAAUGGAGGUGAUUACAAUGGUUCCAAAUUUAUAAUUAGAAGCCCCAUGGAUUACUUCCGAAUAGAAUUUUUGAUACUAUAGUUCCGAAGGCAGAACUUAGAGCUACUUAGGAAGGAUAUGUUAUUCAAAAUUUAGGUGCUUCAUAUGUCAUGUUGGAGGCUUAUUUGGCUUCAUUAUGUAAUGCGGAUUCUCAUAUUCUGCUAAAGGAUUAGAGUCAUCUGAUUGCUAGCUUCUAUCAUUCGAAGCAACAUAUGUUUCCGACUUUAUCAUCUAAUGUUGAUUCUCACGUCCUGCUAUAGCAUUACAGCCAAUAACUAAUGAUCGAUAUUUUAAUUUAAAAAUUUAAAAAAAAUAAUAAUUUUAUAAAUCUUUGUUAAUCCAUUUUCUUGGGCAGAUAGUGAGUGCACAAAUUACAGAAAAGGUAUAUAAAACAAUCUACAAUUCCUAGUUUCCCGAGAAAGCAUCCGCAAAACAAAGUAUAAGCACCUCUAGUUCAGAAUCAAUGUCUAAGGUUCUAAGUAGAACUUUCUUCCAGUCCCAUAUAUGAACACACUCUGUUAUUUGGCUCCUACGAUUUCUUAUACGACAUAAGCUAUUUGCAUUAAGGUAGACUUCUGGGCACAACAUAACUAAUUAGUGCCAACAAACAAGACAAGAGAAAAUUACAUGCUAUUCCCAUAGCGCACCUAUAUGAGGCCCCAAAUACAUUCAUAUAGUCAUAUACCUAUAACAGGAAUAAGAGAGCAUGACAAAAGAGAACAAGUGCAGCACUAGUUUUUAACAUGCAUCCAUGUAGGUAACUUGGGCAAAUGGAUCGGAGGGGCAGCUUGAAUAUUUGCAAUUUUGAGGUCAAAGUGUUUCAGCAAAAUUAUUGAAUUUAUACACACACAAAUGUCACUUAUAUAUAUAUUAAAGAUAUUACAUUAUUUAAGCCGAAAGAUGAAAGCAUGCCAAUUCCUCAACUCAGACAACUUGCAUGUUUUGUGGGUUCAUUGGAUAACACGGUUGAGAUACUCUUGAACACUGGUGUAUUUGACAUCAGGAUAGAGCUCAGAAGCCUCCACACCAAAUGAUGGUUCGAUUUGGAUGUUAGCAGUGUCUUCCUUCACAAACACCAAAGUAGUUGACUGCCAUCAGCAUAUUGAAUGGGAAUGGAGCCUCUGCAAUGAAAAAUAAAGUAAAAAUAUUUAUAAAGGGCAAAAUGAUAAUAGUUUUAUGUGAGGCAAAACAUAUAACUAAAAAUUUAAAAAAAAAAGACUUUUUAGAAUUUUAUUUAAAAGAUCAUAGUUGCAAGAACAUGUACGCAAAAAUCAGUUUUUGACUAUUAUUUCCUUAGUGGCGUUCCCUUGACUCUAGUUCAGCAAUAUUGAUAAUGAAAAGGGCAGCCUUCCAUCACUUAAUGCGUUUUCUGGUUGCAUUAACUAGUUUUGCUGCAAGGCUAGUUUUGCUACUGGGCAUUAAAUCUCAAAAGCAUAAGCAGUUAAGAACGAGUUAAUAAAACAUAUGGGUCUUAAACAUCCAUCAAGGAAAAGAACCCUGUGAAUUAUUUGAACACGCAUUUCUUUUAUGGGAUGCAGACUAUUAAGUAAUAUCUAGCACCCUGUACUACAACAUUGGGGAAACCUAGCGACAUCAAAUCCUAAAUUGUUUGUGUCCAUGUGUGUGCAUUCCUUUUGCACAUUAUUUUCUGGCUAAUUUUCCAUAUAUAUGGGCACACUGAUAUUUUUUAUAUUUGCUCAUAGAAUCUUCUUGCCCGUGCUACAUUUGCCAUUCAGUUUUUUAUAACAAACACAUCUAAAAGCUUUUCUAUCAGAUGGAAGGUGCUAUUUACAUGAUAGAAAAGUGAAUUUGUGCUCAAUGUGGCUAUCGAUGCUAAGUUAAAUGGCAUAUCCUUUUUAUUAUAAAAAAUUCAAAAUAUCUAAUUAGAAGAUAAUCAUGAACUGUGAUGAUCACUGAUGGUGGAUAACAUGUAAAUCAAAAACAGAGGAACAUGAAUAAGCCGACUUAUCGAGCACAUGAUUUAUAAUGGUAUUAUAUAUGUAAAUUAUUGGUUCAAAUAACGAUGCUUUAUACAUCCAAAAUUCUAAAGGAAGUUGGCAUUUGAAACCAGCGAAAGUUUCUACUUACCCUCACUCUUCUUCAAGACCUCUUCUUCCGGAAGGUAGAUCUUCUCCAAUAUCUUGCAGGUCUUCUUUUCCGAGAGGGAGACAAGCUCGUUAAAGGAGUAGAUGUUGGCAGGAGGUUUCAUGUACAAAAUCUUGUUCAAAGUCCUUGGGUCAUCCACCGUUUUGAUGGUAUACGUGCCGACAUUUUCUUCAGCGAACGUCUAGUAAUGUUAUUAAAACCACAUCUAAUAAAAGUAAAUAGAGUCGUUUGUUAUCAUUUUUAUUAAAUAAUUUUUAGAUAUAUUUUUU
rnacentral:lncRNA from 1 species